UACGGAGGGUGCGAGCGUUGUCCGGAAUCACUGGGCAUAAAGCGCACGUAGGCGGCGGCGUAAGUUGGAUGUGAAAUCCCCCGGCCCAACCGGGGAACUGCGUCCAGUACUGCGUUGCUUGAGGAUCCAAGGGGUGCAUGGAAUUCCCGGUGGAGCGGUGAAAUGCGUUGAUAUCGGGAGGAACUCCGGCGGCGAAAGCGGUGCACUGGUGGAUUACUGACGCUGAGGUGCGAAAGCCAGGGGAGCAAACGGG
rnacentral:rRNA from 1 species